rnacentral:tRNA from 1 species
UGUUCAGUGACUUAGUUGGUAAAAGCGCCGGACAAGCGAUACGGAAUCGUGGGUUCAAAUCCCACUAAAACAA